GAUGAACGCUGGCGGCGUGCCUAAUACAUGCAAGUCGAGCGAACUGAUUAGAAGCUUGCUUCUAUGACGUUAGCGGCGGACGGGUGAGUAACACGUGGGCAACCUGCCUGUAAGACUGGGAUAACUUCGGGAAACCGAAGCUAAUACCGGAUAGGAUCUUCUCCUUCAUGGGAGAUGAUUGAAAGAUGGUUUCGGCUAUCACUUACAGAUGGGCCCGCGGUGCACUAGCUAGUUGGUGAGGUAACGGCUCACCAAGGCAACGAUGCAUAGCCGACCUGAGAGGGUGAUCGGCCACACUGGGACUGAGACACGGCCCAGACUACUACGGGAGGCAGCAGUAGGGAAUCUUCCGCAAUGGACGAAAGUCUGACGGAGCAACGCCGCGUGAGUGAUGAAGGCUUUCGGGUCGUAAAACUCUGUUGUUAGGGAAGAACAAGUACGAGAGUAACUGCUCGUACCUUGACGGUACCUAACCAGAAAGCCACGGCUAACUACGUGCCAGCAGCCGCGGUAAUAC
rnacentral:rRNA from 1 species